CUCCUGCCGGGGAUCCCUGAUUCUAUUAUGUCUUGUCCUUGUCUUGAACUUUUUCCACUUUUCCUUGCUUUUGGUGAUUCUUUCUCUUUUUUUUUUAUUCCACACAGCUAGUUCAGACCGCUGCCACCACCUACCCCCUCAGCAGAGCUCCCCCUGUGGUGUCUACCACCCCCACCACUGACAGCCCCCGUACUCCCUAGUCCAGGGACUGAGUUUCUGGCUCAGAGCUUUCCUUUUUCCAGGCUCCCAGAGGCUUUAAGUGUUGCAAUGACCAGUGUUUUGUUAUGUAUAUUUUCCACAAUUUAAAAAAUAAGGGACUUGGUGGCACAUGAAUAUAUAUAUGUCUGUGUGCAUAUAUAUUUUUAAUAUUAUGUACAUAUAAUAUUAAGGUGAGUAAUAAAGCACUGGUAUAUGUUAAAACAUGGGUGAGCCUUAGAUACAUGAUGCUAAGCAUAAGAAAGAAGGCAGACAUACAUGGUUACAUAUUUUAUUAUUCCAUUUACUUAAAAUAUUCAGAAUAGGCAAAUCCAUAGAGGGAAAAAAAGCAUAUUGGUGAUUUCCAGGGGUUGGGAGGGGGGUGGAAAAGGAAGUGAUCAUUUAAUCAGGGCUGGGUUUCUCUUCCCCACUCCAACUUUACUGAAAUAUGGUUGACAUACAACAUUAUAUAGUGUAAGAUGUACGAUGUGAUGAUUUGAUACAUGUACAUAUUGUGAAAUGGUUAUCACUGUAAGAUUAGUCAAGGCAUCCUUUUUUCACAUAAUUAUCAUUUUGUUGUUGUCAUUAUGGUGAGAACAUUAAAGCUCUACUUUUACAGUUAA